GAUGAACGCUGGCGGCGUGCCUAAUACAUGCAAGUCGAGCGAACAGACGAGGAGCUUGCUCCUCUGACGUUAGCGGCGGACGGGUGAGUAACACGUGGAUAACCUACCUAUAAGACUGGGAUAACUUCGGGAAACCGGAGCUAAUACCGGAUACUAUAUUGAACCGCAUGGUUCAAUAGUGAAAGACGGUUUUGCUGUCACUUAUAGAUGGAUCCGCGCCGCAUUAGCUAGUUGGUAAGGUAACGGCUUACCAAGGCAACGAUGGGUAGCCGACCUGAGAGGGUCACCGGCGACGCGGAGACUGCGGAAGGACCCAGACGCCUAGGUGAGUCAACAUGUGGGAAUAGUGCAACAUAGGCGAAAGGAAAAACCAGCAACGCAUCUUGAGGGACAACGGCCUUCGGGUAAUAAACCUCAUGUAGCAGGUAACAAGCGACAGUGACGUUACCUACAGAAAAAGCACCGGCUAACUACGUC
rnacentral:rRNA from 1 species